rnacentral:rRNA from 1 species
AGCAGUAGCCGCGGGAAUACGUAGGUGGCAAGCGUUGUCCGGAAUUAUUGGGCGUAAAGGGCUCGCAGGCGGUUUCUUAAGUCUGAUGUGAAAGCCCCCGGCUCAACCGGGGAGGGUCAUUGGAAACUGGGAAACUUGAGUGCAGAAGAGGAGAGUGGAAUUCCACGUGUAGCGGUGAAAUGCGUAGAGAUGUGGAGGAACACCAGUGGCGAAGGCGACUCUCUGGUCUGUAACUGACGCUGAGGAGCGAAAGCGUGGGGAGCGAACAGGAUUAGAUACCCCAGUAGUCCCUGUCUCUUAUAA